rnacentral:rRNA from 1 species
CGCUGGCGGCGCGCCUAAACAUGCAAGUCGAACGAGAAGCCCGGGCUUGCCCGGGUGGACAGUGGCGAACGGGUGAGUAACACGUGAGGAACCUGCCCCGAAGACCGGGACAACACCGGGAAACCGGUGCUAAUACCGGAUACCUUCACCGGAUCGCAUGGUCUGGUGAAGAAAUGGAUUCCGCUUCGGGAUGGCCUCGCGGCCUAUCAGCUAGUUGGUGAGGUAACGGCUCACCAAGGCGACGACGGGUAGCUGGUCUGAGAGGAUGUCCAGCCACACUGGGACUGAGACACGGCCCAGACUCCUACGGGAGGCAGCAGUUAGGAAUCUUGCGCAAUGGACGAAAGUCUGACGCAGCGACGCCGCGUGCGGGAUGAAGGCCUUCGGGUUGUAAACCGCUUUCAGCAGGGACGAAAUUGACGGUACCUGCAGAAGAAGCCCCGGCCAACUACGUGCCAGCAGCCGCGGUAAUACGUAGGGGGCAAGCGUUGUCCGGAUUUAUUGGGCGUAAAGAGCUCGUAGGUGGUUCGGUAAGUCGGAUGUGAAAUCUCCAGGCUCAACCUGGAGGGGUCAUUCGAUACUGCCGUGACUA